rnacentral:rRNA from 1 species
GACGAACGCUGGCGGCGUGCUUAACACAUGCAAGUCGAACGGAAAGGCCUCUUUCGGGGGGUACUCGAGUGGCGAACGGGUGAGUAACACGUGAGUAACCUGCCCUUGACUUUGGGAUAACUUCAGGAAACUGGGGCUAAUACCGGAUAGGAGCUCCUGCUGCAUGGUGGGGGUUGGAAAGUUUCGGCGGUUGGGGAUGGACUCGCGGCUUAUCAGCUUGUUGGUGGGGUAGUGGCUUACCAAGGCUUUGUCGGGUAGCCGGCCUGAGAGGGUGACCGGCCACAUUGGGACUGAGAUACGGCCCAGACUCCUACGGGAGGGAGGAGUGGGGAAUAUUGCACAAUGGGUGGAAGCCUGAUGCAGCAACGCCGUGUGCGGGAUGACGGCCUUCGGGUUGUAAACCGCUUUCGCUCAUGACGAAGCUUUGUGUGACGGUAGUGGGUAAAGAAGCACCGGCUAACUACGUG